rnacentral:lncRNA from 1 species
UUCCUUCCAUAAGCCUACUCAGGACUCCACUGGGUUACUGACUACUCACCCUCCCCUCAGGGCUUGCAGUUUCCAAACCAGACACAAUCUCCCAGUUGGAGAAAGAAAAAGGAUCCUAGAUGAUAGUGAGACAAAUUUCAGGAAACUCCAUCCAAAUAAGUAAAUGAGAAUGAGGACAGGAUUCAUUGCAUGGUGGCAUGUGCCUGCAGUCCCAGCUACUCAGGAGGCUGAGGUGGGAGGAUCGCUUGAACUCAGGAGUUGAAGGCUGCAGUGGGUGAGGAUCACAACACUGAAUUCCAGCUGAGGUGACAGAAUGAGACCCUGUCUCUCUAAAAAACAAGCAAGCAAACAAACCAAAAACCACAAACAAACCAGACCCCUCUUAGCAGAAUACUUCCAUGAGGUAAUAAAAGAAAGAAGAAAGUGAAACGAACAAACAAUUUUACUCAAGAAACUAGUGAGAAAUCAAAGAAAUGUCCAAGAAGUAGGAUACAAGAAUUAAUCAAAACAGAUUAACAGUGGAAUAAAUAAAUGAAUCCAACUGGUUCUUUGUAAUGGAAUGUGGAAAGACAUACUCUAUUCUUCUGGAUAGGAAGAUGAAAUAUCAUAAUCAUAUCAAUGCAAGUUUUAUGCAUGCUCAAACAUGUAUAAACUAAGAAAAAAUCUGAAAGGACAGACAGCAAAAUGUUUGCAGUUUUUUUCCUCCAAGUGGUAAGAUUAAAGAACACAGACAAAAAUAGAAACUCCUCACAUGACCCACCACGAAGCCCAUCAGAUGGCAGAAUGCAGAAUCAGGUUGCAGUGGACUGAUCUUAAAACAGAUGAAGCAGUGGAGAAAAUCUUCCUGGAGCUGAUGGUAUAAUUUGCUUCUUGAAACAAUGACAGUCCAUGAAAUAAGGUGGGGAAGAUGUUUUGAACCUCUCUCAGCAGCAGAUCCCUAAAUCACAGACCCAGAACUUGGAGGAAACAGGAAACAGGAGGCCAUCUCUGCACCUCUCCAGCACUGCUCUGGUUGGUGGGCAGAAUAUCAUAAAAUCAUCACGAUUCUUAUAUCAAAAACCAAAUUCUAGACUGAUUAAAUAAUUAUUUUUUUAAAUGAGAAAAGUUAUCGUUUAUUUGAUCUUGGGCUAGGGAAGAUAUUUCCAA